ensembl:snRNA U6 U6 spliceosomal RNA
GUGCUCACUUCAGCAGCACAUAUACUAAAAUUGGAGUGAUACAGAGAUUAGCAUGGCCCUUGCACAAGGAUGAUACACAAAUUCAUAAAGCAUUCCUUAUUUUU